rnacentral:rRNA from 1 species
GAUGAACGCUGGCGGCGUGCCUAAUACAUGCAAGUCGAGCGAACAGACGAGGAGCUUGCUCCUCUGACGUUAGCGGCGGACGGGUGAGUGACACGUGGAUAACCUACCUAUAAGACUGGGAUAACUUCGGGAAACCGGAGCUAAUACCGGAUAAUAUAUUGAACCGCAUGGUUCAAUAGUGAAAGACGGUUUUGCUGUCACUUAUAGAUGGAUCCGCGCCGCAUUAGCUAGUUGGUAAGGUAACGGCUUACCAAGGCAACGAUGCGUAGCCGACCUGAGAGGGUGAUCGGCCACACUGGAACUGAGACACGGUCCAGACUCCUACGGGAGGCAGCAGUAGGGAAUCGUCCGCAAUGGGCGAAAGCCUGACGGAGCAACGCCGCGUGAGUGAUGAAGGUCUUCGGAUCGUAAAACUCUGUUAUUAGGGAAGAACAAAUGUGUAAGUAACUAUGCACGUCUUGACGGUACCUAAUCAGAAAGCAACGGCUAACUACGUG